rnacentral:lncRNA from 1 species
AGGGAAGGGGCGGCAGCGAGCUCGCCAGGCGGCCAGGAACCCGGGUGGGGCCGGGACCGAGGCGGUGGCUGGCCAGCGGAGCUCAGGCCGGGCGCGGCGCGCCGGGUGAAGGCGGCAAGGCGGCAAGGCCCCGGCCGAGGCCGGCGGAGCCGCGCAGCUGCGGCCGGCUGACGUGAGCGGCGUGCGGGUCCCGGCCGGCAGCGCGCUGGCGGCCAUGGCGGUGGCGCUGGCGGGCCGCGGGGCGCGCGGCGGCAGGGGCCGGCCCCCGGGCGGGCGGGCGGAGGGGGCGGGGCCGGGGCGCCGGGCGGCCCGCGCGACAGCGGCGGCGAAGACGACGGAGACGGGGGGCGCUGGGGCUGAUGACAGCGGCCGGGCCCGGGGCGGCGCCGUCCCCGCGGCGGUGCGACAGCGACCCGGCCUCCCCCGGAGCGCAGUCCCCAAAGGCUGGCUUCAAACCCUGUAUCUACCUCCCGAGUGUUGGGAUUACAGAUGUGUACCACCAUGCUGGGUAUAUUCAGUGCUGGAGAUUGAGCCCGCAGCUUCAUGACUGCCAGAAAAACAGUAAUAGAAAGCAAGAGAUCUGAAGUUCUGUGUUCAUCCAUGAGGAUUCUCACACUCACGUCGCCGAGGGCUCGCUCCAGACAGGAAGCUAGUUUCAUCACGCCGAGGGAGACGGCAGCAGGCUGCGAGCUUUGCAAGGCAUCAAGUAUCUCAAGAAACAACUAUUCAGAGGAAGACACACACUCGAGCUCAGAUUCAGUGAAAGAUGUUUCUCAAAGCAACAAUAAUGUUUAUUCAAUUACUAUUUCCGCACUCAAGCCUCUUAAGAUUUGAAGGUUUAAAACUUUCGGAAUAAAAAGAGUUUAUAUUGGAAAUACUAUAAUAAAGGAAAUUAUCUAACACCUAA